CCACAUGGACUAGCCAAUAGUUGCAACAAGAUAUAAACUGAAAUAGGGACUCUUUCAUCCCUUGGUCUACAAAUCUUUUAAAGAAUUUCCAGUAUUUUGAAAAUUUGGGAUUUAACAUUGCUAUGUUAAAACUUUAAAGUAUGCAUUUAAACAUUGAAAUAUGUCCUAAAUACUUUCAUCUGCGCAUGCUAAAUAUUUAUCUUCUUAAAUGUGAAUCAAGAUAAUAUCCAAAGCUUACCAUAAGUAAACAAGUAAAACAAUUAUGAAAGGUUACCUUUUAAAGCACUUUUCACGAAUCACAAAAGUUACGAAUGUACUUUAAUCAAAGUUGCAUAAAAGUAAACAUAUAAAAAAAUCACUCACACUAGUUUCGUUUUGAUGAAAUCAUCAUGAAAUUAAUAGAUUUAAAGUGUUAAUAACCUACUUAAGUAAAUGCUUACAAGUUAAGUAGAAAACUCAAUUUUUCUAAAGAAAAGAGAGGAAUACAUUUUUUUUUUCAAAUCACUUUUGAGUAGGGUAUUCUUACCCCUAUCCAAGUUCAAUAAUAUCCGAUAUUUGGACCCAAAUAUUCUCUGCAAUAAAUCUGAAUUUUUCAGUUUUUGGAUAAAAGACUGAAUUUUCGAGCUUUCUUUCAUCAAACGAUGGAAGAAUACCCUAGAUAGAUUAUAGCUCAUCAACACUCUUUAAUUUGACUCAAAAUGUGAAUAAUUUUAAAGAAGACAAUAAGAAUACGUUGCCGAAUUUUCUGCCUUAACAAAAUUAAAAUUUUGAAGAAUAUGAAACAAUAUAAACUUGAAAGAUGACUUUGAAA
rnacentral:lncRNA from 1 species